CACAAGGGGCGAACUGCUGGCAAAGGAGCUGUUUUAUACUGUGCUUCUCUAAGCUGUCUAUGCCUUCUCUGUUUGUGUUCACUGGGGGGUCUGCGUGCACCUGUGUAUUUGAGCACUGGUGUCUGUCAUUCCAGUUGGUUGUUUAUCAGUGUUGUCAUGUUAGCAGCUCAUGCAGCAGUCAGUAGGAGAGAAGCAGAACCGGACCUGCUAAUAACAAAAACUCAGAGCAAAGGAACGGUGUUUGGAGAGUUUCUGCCUCCAUCUUGAGACGAAAGAAAUCUGAGGAACAAACUUGCCUAGCUGGAAUGAAAGACUGACAACAAGCAGACUUGUGGGGAAAAGGGUAAGUUUCACAAACAGCUAAAGUUACUUCAGGUUGUUUGGUUUGAGCCAGGAUCACUGUGAAAGUUUUCACCUUGUUUAUUUUGUUAUUUUGCUUCACUCGAGAGCAGACAGCAUUUACCCCUGCUGGCUUAAAUUAAGGCAGUUCACUAGAAAACCCUUAAUCCAUUAGCCCUUACUGAAAUGAUGCUCACAUGUUUAAAGUGGAAAAAAAAGUGUUGUUGCUAGAUUAUCUGCAUUUGGAGAUUUCAACACAGGGCCAGUCUGAGCACAAAUGACAAGAUAUCGCAGCAGGAGUGGAUCAGAGAGAACUGUUCUGCUAACUUUUCCAAUGAUGUUGCUGCUUUAAGGACUGUAGUGUAAAACAUUUUACUUAUUGGUAGCUUAAAUGGAUGCCAGCAGACAAGGGCAGAAUUGAUCAACCUGGCAAUGACUAAAGAAGGUGGCACCAAAUGACAGUUAACUCAUGGGUCAGCAUCAUGUUUUUGAAUUAACUAUGCACAGUUAUUUAAUAUGUUGCCCUUAAUUAAUUAUGUAAUACUUGAUACUUACCAAAACAAUCAUAUAUGAUGAAUUUGCAUAUCUGUGUACCAAAAGAGGGAAAAAUUAGGAAUUAAGGAUUCGUUCUUUACAGUUCGGUGUGUCUGUGCAUUUUGUUUUGAUAACGUGUGAGUUUGAUCUUUCCUCGGUGUCCACACUGUCCCCAUCAUUUUCCCCUGUGAAUUCAUUAAUUUGAUAAGCUCCAUCACGAGGAGUCAUGAAGUAGUGACUAAGUAAAACUGUUGGGGUAAUGGGUUAGACCGCCUGAGUGUUUAAAAUAUUGAUGCUGUUUGUUGACAGUAUACUGAUAACUUUUUGCAGGAGGAAGCUAAUGGCGAAGCAAAGGAAGUUGAUAUUGCCUCACUGAUAUUUUUUCACCCCUAGGUUGGGUUCAUAUGGUCAUAGAAAGCUUUUGGUCAUGGAAUUGGGAAAUGGCAAAUAAAUAUACUGGGAAACUUUAGAAAAGGCAAGACUGUGAAUUUCUGAAGUACCGGGAAAAUGCUAAAUUAGGUUUCUAUUGUAAAGUUAUAGGGCAUGAUUUGAAAGACCAGUACCCAGGACAUGGAGUGAAGACUAUGUUGACUCAUUUGGCGCUUUUAGAAUGAGAUAGCUAGCUAGCCAUUCGAUUGUAGAUACGCUUUUGGUACCUCAAGAAUAUUAAGUCUCUUCUCCAGAACUGUCUCCCCCCCCUCCCCUUCCUGGUGUGACACCUGCUAGCAGAUGCACCGUUUCCUCUUGCCCACCAUGAAGCAAACCAUUGUGAGGAAUGUGUCCAGAAAUGUACCCCAAUUUGCAAAGGAACUGUGGAUGCUAAAGGUGGCUAACAGCUAAUUUAGCUCUUACUUGCUAUCUUCUCUGAAGAUCGUUCCAUUACAAGGUGGGGUAUUUUUUCCAACGCUCCUACAGCAACUGUUUGUUAAUUAUGACUACACAAUGAAUUAUCGUGGUUUGGCACAUUUUCUUUCUAUAGACAUUUUCCUGGUGUGUUGACCUUAAAUGUUUAUUUUUUUUAUCCCUUGAAAGGCUACUUGAAGUCAUCCUUGAAGCUCUUUUCUGAACCCAGUGAUUUCUGUCAUAUUUGAGGGCUUCUUAUUGAACAAAAUGACUGGGUUUGAAUCAGAAGUUAUAGUGAGGGUAGUCUCUGCCUAACUACCCUUAGAAAAACCCAGAAACUAUUUUAAUGGUCAUAAUGAUAUAGACUGAGGUGUCAAAACUCAUCAUUAUGGGUACUGGGGAGGUUGUCAAAUGUUGUGUUUACGUGGGAAAAAGCUGAGACAUAUUAAGGUACCACUGUAAUAGAUUUAAUCAUUUUUAUUUUUAUUUUCAAUGCAGAUAUUUUACACAACCAUGCAUUUCAGAGAAUAUGUGGUGAUGAAGAUUUGCUUAAAAGUCAGGGAAGUUUUGCUGUAUGAGCCUAGUCUGACUCAGCAUUGUAAUAGAGGACUAUUCAAUGCUACUCAAUUUGCCCUUUCUCCCAAAAGUCUUCACAUUGUUCUUCCAUAUAACUUUCAGAUUCAGAGAAAGACAGUUGGUAGUUUUAUUUAUUUUUUUAUUAUGAUGCUAAACAGCCAAACCCAUUUCUUGCUUACCUUACUUUCUUACUUACAUGCACAUCUUUUCCUCAAGCACACCCCACACAUAAUAAUCUUAAUCUUAAAUUUAAAUGUCAUGUAAAUUGAUGCUUCUUUGGUAUGGGUAAUAAAAUAAAAAAACCCAUCAACAACAUAGUGACAUUUAAAAACUGGUGAGUCUUUUGGAUUGUUCAGAGCGACCAAAGAGAGGACUGAAUGUUUGUAGCUAAGCUAAUGAGCAAGGUACCGUCCAUAUAAUGUUAAAAUAUUCUUCUGGUACUCUCUACACAAUGUCUGUGUUUAUGAGGGAAGAACCAGAACUUGGUGGUGCUGAAAUCAGCUUCUGGGGGGGAUCAGUGUGUGAAGCAUCCACUCAGUUUAUCUUCAUUGAAAUUUUGUGGGGAUUCAUUGAGAUUUUCUACAUUAUAUUUGUACACUUACCAGUAACCUCUACAUUAGAGUGCUUUACAGAACAAAAACAAUAAGAAGUAGUCAUGUUAAGGAUGAUUAAAAGCGAUGAAUUCUAGGUUCUGUGUACAUGCAGUGCUGAGAUGCAUAAUUUAAGAUUGUGAAUGCCACGAGCUUGAAUGCACUCAGAAUGGCUCGACUCAAGUUAAUGUCUGUUGUGUGUGAUUCUGUUUGACAUGCUGUCCAAGGAUAUCCUGCAGGGAAACAGAUUAAAAUAGCUCUCCUAUUUUUUUCUCAGGUCUCUCCAAUGAUUUGCUACUGUUCUUCAAAAUACUGACCAGCGUCACCAUGACAUCCUAUUUAGUGCUCACAAUAGGGUGUGCUACAAACCUGAGGCAGCUGAAAGUGUAGGACAGGAAGAAAAAGCAGAGGACAUAUAGGAUGGUGGAGUUACCUCAAGGUGGCUCUAAGAACUUCUGGAAUGGAUGGAGAGCACCAACUGCGUUACCCCCCACCCGGUUUCUUGAUUUCUCCUAAAGCGUUGGCCUACACUUCUCUUCGAGCCUGACUUCAUCUGAGUGUAGAGGACGUUUGACCACCAGGUCCAGCUUAUGCCUUACUGGUAUGUUGGCGAUUUACGAAACUUACAGUUUUCUUUUUGUGGAAGCGGUUCAAAAUAGGGUCUAACCCACACAAUGUGACGCGUGCGUGAUUUUUAUUUUAUUUUUUUAAACUUUGCUUAUUUUUCGAUGGUGUUCGCUUUAUGUUUUCUCUCCAGAAAAUUUUCUAAGGUCCAGAGAAUUGCAUUAUUGAAUUUAAUUUAUUAGGUCAUUGCAAAUAAGAAUCACUUUUAUUUUUAUAAUAAAAAAAAUACUUUGUAUUUGGCAGCGGAGCGAUUAAAUGUGAUUUGUAUUUUGUCUUUAUUUUGUCUUAUUUAAGAAUAUAUAACUGCAUGUGCUGGAUGUGUUGUAGCAUUUGCUUUUGCUGCUCUGUUGGAGAUGUGGUACUUGUUUUUAUUUUAAUCAUAGUGUGAUAUUUCAUAAAAUUCGUGCAGCGCAAAUAUGCCUUUUUAUUCAGUACAAAUUCAUUUUCUUUAGUAAAAUAUUUCCUCGAAAUGUGCGUUCUUGUGUUCAGAUGUAAAACUAUUUACAGUAUACUAUCCUGACAUUUCAAAAUUAUACCUCAAAAGAAUGUGAUCAGUGGGGUAAACACACAAACACCGCAUCUAUUACAGUCAUGUGCCCCGGCCUGUCCUGUGUACCAUGGCCUAAUUUCCACGCUCAUCUCUAUUAGAUGCUUAAAAAGGACACAUUGUAUAUCCCCACACUGAAGCAAUCUUAAGAAGUACAAGAAGUGAAAAAUACAUGAAAGGAUUGAUACUCAACGCGUGGAUUUAUUCUUUAAAUAUCGGUGAAAUAGACUAAACUUUUUAAUGUUGAUGCAUAUUUUAGUUGCAGAAAGACCUACAUGCAAUGAAAGCUGUGCCAUGUUGAGCCUUAUCAGCGUUACAGUGUUGUCCAUUGUGGUUUGAACACCCAGUAAGAGGAGUGCUAUGAUGAAUCAGUGGAGCUGAAAGCUUCAGACAGUAGAAUGAGUUGUCUGCUUAAAUGUUUGUUGAUUUCUCUGCUUCUUAUCCGCUCUCAAAGUGUUAAUGCCAGCUGCCACGAACCCGUAGAUCCGAACUUGUGGUGACUGGCUGCACAAGCUCGUAUCUAUAGGUAUGUGUCUUCCUGGUAAAAACAGCAUCUGCCCAGUGCUUUUAAGAAAGGCGACUAGAUCACUGGAAUUAUUUUGGAAGCAGGUUUUGACUGGAUAACCAUAAAGAGUGGCAUUUCUUAAUCCUUGAUUCCCACAAUUAAACAGCACUGACCCUGCGUGACCCUGUAUCCUAGGAUGCAGGAUAUUCUCUACCAAACUUAUCCCACGUGUGCCACCUCGAUGCAGUGACCCCACCCAAAUUUGUGGGUUGGGCUAAAUGACGAUGUGUCACAACAUUGUACAUGACAGACUAUCUUUGGCCUCUACGUCAGUGUUGCAGUUAAGUAAGGAGGACGACUUACUGGUGAAAUUUUUCUUCAGUUUCUGGUAAAAUAAAAUUACAUUGCUUGUGGUAGUUUUGAACUGCUCGCCCGGCCCUACAGGGCAGCCAUGCUGCAGCUUCCUCCAGUGUUCCGCAGGUUGAGGUAGUAGGUUGUAUAGUUCAGAGUGACACCACAGGAGAUAACUGUACAGCCUCCUAGCUUUCCCUGAGGAAACACCACACAAUCUGUACACUGAUGGAUUAUUUCAUAAAUGCCAACAUCUGUGCAAUAUUUGUGUAUGAGAGUUUUAUCGCCUGGUUGUAAACACAGCUUCUCUGUCAGGUGGUUUUGUGUCUGUUUCUUAAUACACUGAAAUUUCUUCUGUUUAAUUCAAAGUGUUGUUUUGGGGUUUUUCGUUUUCUCCUUUAAGCAGAUAUGGGAAGAGAUAAAGAUAUUUUGCUAAAGACUUGCAUGAACAUGGCAAACACUGCAUCUCGUUUGACACUUGGAAAACAAAGUUGAAACAAUGACAGCACAGAUUAGGGAGGGGGGGCAAAGAGAAAUCAUUUCAAAAUAUGAGGAAAAGCACUAGCAUGCUGCUGCAGUGAUGUUUGCGGGACGCUCUAAUGAAGGAGAUGUCACUGAAGGGAAACACACCAUACAGCCGCAGGGGAAGAACAAGGUCUUGGCGGCCAAUUAUGCACAAAGUUCACUUUCACUUAACCAAAACGAUAUACUUCCUCUGCGCAGCUAUGUGGUAAAGACACUGCUGUGAUCAAAACAGCCAGUAACAACUUUCACUGCUUCAAACCAAGAAAACCACAGGCCCCUGAAAUUAUCUAGGUUCCUGACUGCAAUUUAGAAAUGCGCUGAAUUACUUCUUAAUUUUGGCUGUGUUCAGUUUCUCGGGCUUCGUCUCAGACCGUGUGACCUAUAUCUGCUCUUCGGGCAUAUUUUCAUUGCAUACUUUUGAUCUCUGUUGGAUACUACAUUUUUUUAAACUCCCACUUUAAGGUGUUGGAAUAGACGCUGCCAGCUAUGCAUACACAAGAAAUUAAUGAAAGUGUUGUUAUUUAAUUUGUUUUAACUGUUUGGGGAAAUAUGGAUCUUUAUGAGUAAAAAGCAGUUUUUAGUUGUCCUGCCAUAAAAGUAUUUAACUUGCACGUAAUCUGUUAAGCCUGAACUGUAAAUAUACAUUAGACACUGGAUGUAGCGCCGCUAGGUUAGAGAUGGUAUCCUACUCCUGUAGUGCAGUAUGCUGCUGUGUACAGAUGUGUAGUGCGGGGAGUGUCAUGAUGAUGAAAGACUGUUUCCACUUAAACUCUACGCUCUCUGUCCUAAGGCCACCGGGUUCGAAAGAGGUGGGGUAAGGAGCUCUUUGGGCCAGAAUGAAGAAGGGGCCCUUGGUACGGGGCAGCUUUUGCAAGAGCGCAAGCAUUCAGUUACAGUAGAUACAACGUGAAUCGACUGUUGGGUUUUUCACUGUGCCUAAUUAUCCUUGCUUACUUUUUUCUCCCCCUCACCCUUCUUCUAGAAAAGCGUAUUCACACUUCUUUCUGUGCUCGGUGGUUUGUUGUUGCCAUGUGGUAGUGCAUUACAUUAUACAGCAGGAGGCAUAAAGGAGCUCUCCCUGACUGACCCCCCACCCAGCACACACGGCCCACCCUCGCUGUGGAAUCUGUGCAGGUUUUUUGUCUUCUUUGGAAAUUUCUAUAAAUAGUCCCGGUUGACUCUUGUCGUGUUAGUGUGCGAAGACAAGGUGGAAGUAAAACUGAGCAUAAAUGAAGGGACCCUUUGCCGCACUGAAGCGCACGUGAUGCCUUUCAGACAUCGUGACAUGUGAUGUCCGCGAGCAAGGAGAGAUGCCUUAAAAGUGAAUUUUCGAUUCAAAAAAACGAAGAAGAAGAAAGAAAAGAAUGAGGCUCUAAUGAUACAGAGAGAAAUACAGCAAAAUGUAAAUGAGAGCUGAAGAAGUGAGAACUGUCUGCCUGAUUUAUUAUUUUUAAAUUGACUUCAAAAUAAAAGAAUGACCUAUUUAAACCAGCAGGGGGAAAGGGUUGGGGGGCGAUAGUGUUGAGACCACACAGGCCAUUUUUCUGCUGUCACUGAUCUCAGCCUAUUGUGCGCUGUCCGUCAGAAGAACCCUGGUAAUUCCCUCUGCUCCCCAUUUGUCUCGCUUUCCUACCAUCUUGUCUCGUGUCUUCCCCCCCUCUUUUUUUUACAAGCCUUUUCCACUGCUUUACAGUGACUAAUACUGAUAAAAUAUAAGACCACCACACACACCACAAUGCUUCCAGUUACAUUUCCUUUGAAGCUCCCUGAACUGGUGCGUUCACUCUCUCUUGCUCCCUCCUUUUCUCUUGUUCCCACCCUCCUUUUCUCCAUGAAACGCACGCUGUAAUACCCAGUCACUCACAGACACAGAGGGCGAGAGACACAGGAACAGAAUACUGGACAUGCUACUGGAGCAGGAUUUUUCUUUUUGUUUGCCUUAAAUGAAAAAGGAGCUUGAAAGAGACAUUGUAAGAUAAAACUGUGAAUUCCUAUUUGACUGUCUUUGCCUUCUCGUUGUGCUACUGUAUGCUUUUGUUCUCUUCACGUCUCUCUCCCUCAUUUCUCUACCUUCCCUUAUCUCUCUUUCUCCAUAUACUAGGCCUUUUGUCUGUGUAAUUUCAGCUGUGGGGAGGGAAAUGAAUGGGUGAUAUUUAGUUCCUUUCCCACACUGCUACUGCCGUUUUGAUUCUAUAUGUAACAAACAGAAAAAAAAGGGGCAAGCAGAGGCUCUUCAGUUUUUCAGCCUUGGGGACUUGAGCCUGCAAUCUAUGAAGCAUGGAAGGCAGAGGAGGGAAAGAAAAUACAGAGGCACAGACACAGGCCGAGAGGUGUGAUACAGCGAGACUAAAGCACCAAUCAAGUACAGAAAGAAAAUAUGAGACAGAUGAAGCCAAGAGACGAACAGACAGACAGACAGACAGAGGAAGAAAAAGAUGGGUAGUAGUGUCACAUGGAGAAAGGGCUGAGCAGCAGUAGGCAGAGGGACUACAGCAACAGGCGUUACACAUUUUUUCCUAUUAUUCACUCCUGUCGCUGUUUUGGCACACUGUGUCUCAGUCUUUUUUUUUUUCACAGCUACUAACCAGAUCUGCCAAAUUCUGACGGUAACCUGAAAAUCCUUCUUGUUUUUGAUUUCUCAUGUAAAGCUGUGACUCAUAUGGGGGAAGCUUUGGGGAAAGCUGAGAUUGUACAUUAUUGAAUGUGCGGGGCGAUGAAUAUGCGCUUUAGUGCAGUAGAGCUCUUUUUAGUUAAAAAUCAGACGUCUGGGGGGUUAAAAUAUUACUUUAUCACUCUCUAAAAUCCUGUUUUUCUCUUUCUGGAUGGCUUCCUGUCAUUUGCUCUUAUUCUCUUGUAUUAGUCAGCAUACGUGUAACAUUACUGGGCUGUGGUUUUGCUGUUUGUUUUUGUGAUUUUUACUGUUGGACCCAAGCUAAACAGAAUAUUUUUUCAAUUCUUAUGCUGGUUUCUUUUUCAUGGAUUGUUUUUGAUUUAUUAUUGUGCAUUUUUCCUUCCCCUGUAAUACUAAAUGUAUUGUUGUCUCAGUCACCCUCACUGCUUUUCUAUUCUAUUCUCUUUUCCCCCCCAUGUUCACCUACAUUAAAUCGUUAACCCAACAUCUGCCCUCCCUGCCAUCUCUCCCUUCAUGUCUCUGUCUCCUUCUCUUUCUCUCUCUCUGGCUGCACAUGGUACAGUCUUGCAUGUCUGAGCAGCAGACGGCUAGACGGCAGCAAUCUGCUAGAGCAGGCUCAUGUGCUAGCCCGAAUUAUCCAUUCAACAAAGCCUGAGCUAGCAGCACUAAAAUCUUCCUCUAUUCUUCUCUCCAGCAUUCAUUUUUUUCUCCCCUCUCUCUCUCCGAUUUGUGCCCUGCUACAUCCUCUCUCCCUUUGCUAGGCUGACCGGCACAGGCGUACAGAGAAGACUGCGGCAGCCUCCGCCACCUCGGUCAGCUGGAGCUUGCUACACUCGCUGCUGCACACCGCCGCCAUCUUGUUACUGCCUGUGCUACUGGUCUGCCUGCCUUUGCUGCACUCAAACCAAAUCAUCAAACUCAGCCUGCGGUUGUUUCCAUGCCACUCCUGUUUGUGCGCAGCUUUGUCACAACGCAGUGCUGCGCACCAGCUACCGGACGCAUGUCGUUGCUGCACAGAAGCACCUGGAACUUUUAUCUGGGUGUUUCUUUAAUAGCUGCCACAGAUUGGAUGCUGCAGACGGUGUUGUCAGCAUCUCUCAAACCAUCAGUAAGAUCUGUACCAUUGUAAUACACACUAUGCCCGAUGUAGAUUUAGCUAAGGACUUGACAUGCCGUACACCAUUAAAACAAGUAAAAAUAAGUGAAAUGUUAUUUUACAAAUUUACAAAUGAUUCAAAGUGGCAUGUCUUCUUCGCAGGAUUUAAGAAAAUUGCUCCCGUCGAAGAAAAUCAAUAACCACAAUCUGUCCCUUAUUCUGUGUAUAUAUUUCUCUCCAGAGCCCAUAUGCCUGAGCACAUAUACUGUAUAUGCUAUCUUUGUGAGCUUGUGUGCUGUAAAGAGAGGGUGGGAAAGAGAAAGGAGGGGAGUGAGAGAGAAAGAGAGGAAUCAAGCAUCGGUAAGAAAGUCUUCCUAAUUCUGUUUGGCAGAAACUGUGCUGUUUAACCAUAUGUGCAGAGAGCAGGCUUUGCACAUGCUCAGAAUGACUCAGAGGACACGACUUUCACAUGUCUCAACGCAAUUAGAUUAACUAAUAGAUAAUUUUCCAGCAAAUAUAAAUAAGUUACAGUGAAGUCAUAAAUAAUUUAAAAAGUGUGCACUCUACCUUGAAUUAUUUUUGUUGUACUCACAGUAUGAGGUUAAAACAUGGGCAUUAGAAGGAGAGCGGGAUACAAACACAGCAAGUAUAUUCCAGCUUAUGGAAAUCUUAUUCCUGCAUUUAACUGUGCUUUGGUGCAAAACAAGUGGAAGUGUGUAGGUGGAGGCCAGAGUGAUACAGCAGUGAGUUCAGAAGGUCUUCAAUCCUCUAAGACUAUAUGCCAAGAAGACACCAUGCUAAUGAAAUCAUAAAGACGGUGAAGAAAACAAGCUGUCCCUGGAGAAUACAUCCAUGCAUCGGAGGUUGCCAGUUUUACUUUACUUGCUUCUGGGUAUGCAUGUACUGUAGCUUUGCAGUGAUACUGUAUUUAUAAGGUCAAAGGCUGCUUUGCUUCAGGGUUAAAAUGCUCUCAGCCUUUAUCUUAUGAUUACCUUCAUCAGGUCAGUGAAGAUCACCCUUUGCCCCACCAGCUGAGUGGGACAGCGGGUUACAAGAGGUAUGCAAAUCACAGUAAUAUUUAUUAUGUAUAACAAGGAAGAAAAUGUAAAAAAGAAGAAGAGUUUAAAUCACUGCUGAUAUUCCUAUGAAAUACAGGGUACAAUUAGAAUGAGAUAGAAAUGAUCAAGAUGCAAUUAACGUUCAUACUUUAAAUAUUGGACAGAAAUAUGACGUUGAAUAAUUUUGGCCACUUUUAUACACAGUCCGCCAUCUUUAGGUGCUUAAAUGCAGUCGAACGAACGCUCGUUAUAAGUUGGGGGCAGUUUCAGUUACAGAACCAGCAGUUCUGGCCUAUUCAGAGAGCUCAGGUGGUGGAGCAGGUGGUGGAGCAGGUUUGGGCAGGACACUGAACCCCUAGUUGCUCUCGAUGGCAGAUGAGCUGUCUGAACACGUGUGGCCUAUAAAUGCCAAUCGUCUAAAAUUUGUACUUUUAAUACUUUGUCAGGAAUCAUUUGCGGGCAGUCUGAUUUCUGAAACCUUCGGAUAUUAAUGCUUCUGCGUUUCUGCAGUUGUUUGUUUACGCGUCUUGUUAUCAGGGAGUGAAAUUCAUACUCAGUCAGACUGAGAUUGGCCGAGAAAGUUAAAUCGUCUGCAUCAUGGUUGACUAUAAUCAAUGCUGACAUUGCUUGUUGUCCUCAUUGUGUAAGGACGGAAUCAUUAGAAACACCAAGUAACAGCGUAUUACGUAGAGAGCAAAGAAUUCGUAGUUUAUCGAGCUACCAGGUCUCACGCAGAGUUAACUUUGAAUUGAUGAUUAAAAGCAAACAAUAGUCAACUGAUAGUUUUCAUGAAUGUUAUUAAUCUAGUUUAAAAUUUCAAAUUCAGUUGGAGUUUCAGAGACUUCAGAGCAGAUCGCUGAAACAAUACCGAAGCAAUAUUGCUGCAUUUUAAAUCCGUCCGUCCAAGUCAUCUUUAGGCAAAAUGCAGGAUAUACUGUGGACUCACUACCAGUCUAUCACGUGGCUAAUACAGAACACUUGCAGUCCAUCAGCUAAGAAUGGCUGCAUGAUUAAAUCCCAUUUAGAGGAAUUAUUCACUGUCAAAAAGUCCAAUUUAUGCAGAAAGCACAUAAGAGCAAAUAUGAAUUUCUUACUGGAAGGUAAGCUCCAUACUGGAACAUCACAAUACAAGUUCAGAGAGCCUGUCCAAUGAAAUAAUUCAUUAUAAUCCAAAGUGAGCCUUCAUCAGCCUGGGAGUUGUCCUGCUAUGUUUUUAUGAUCCAGUUAACAGAAAUAAAGCCCUCAACUCUCCGGCUUGAGUAAUGACGUAAGCAGUUAACAAUUGGAAGAAUUUCUUUUUGGACAAGAGCGGAGGACGUUGAUCAUUCAGGGUCAACAAUGAGCGCCUCAUUUGUUCUUUUUUUCCCCAUUUGUAGUAUAAAUAGAAGCAGUUCAGCCUUCAGUGGAGAGUUUGUGGAGCAUACUUACUGAGUGUCGAAUGCAAAGAUGUUGCAUUCUUUAUUAUUCCAUAUCAACUGUCCUGGAAUCCGUUACACCAUUUCCCAGAAUUGCAGUCCAAAAAGUAUGUAAAUCCCAGCUGGGAAUGAGUGUAGAAUCCCAAGGUUUGUGCACGUGACAUGAACUAUUCAUUCUUCUUCUUUUUCUGUCAAAGCAUGACUUCUUAAAAAGAGUUACAGGUGUAUCUGGGCCCACCUUCUUGUUACAUAUAUAUAAUGCACAGCUGUCAAAAGUAAAUAAAGUAAAAAUCACAAACGUCCUUUGUCAGUUGUUCACAUUUAAUUGCUCCUUCAGAAAUAAAUGCAAAAUCUUUGGAAAACAGGAUAAUCUGCUAACAAGUGCCAUUUCCUUACCCAGAGGACCCAUACUUGAGACUUUGUUUCUCCCAGAAUAAAAUGUUUCCUCAUUUUCAGUGAGGAACCAACCAAAAACCAAAAGGUUUUGACAUUCAUUGUUCUCCCAGAAGAUGCAUCUGCAGGCAAUCCCUAACUUUCUCCUCUAGUGCUACCAGCACAAUGAUGUACAGGUGUAUGUGGUUUUAAAAUUCAUAAGUCACCAAAUACUGGAUGGAUUUCCAUUAAAGUUUGUGCCGAUAUUCAUAUCCUUCAGUGUACCUGUCUGCAUUUUUUUUUUAAAGUGUCCUGUGUUCCAGUAUUUUGGCUUGCGAUUAAACAACUGCAAAGCUAGUGAUUUGCUGCAUUACUUACAUAUUGCAGUCAUGAAUAAGAGAAGAGACUAGUCUUUCCUGGUAGACUGCAGUGAAUUAUCUUCACAGCAGCAGAGUAGACAUAGAUUGCAUGACAUGGUGCAGUUUGCACAUGGAAUGCAGAAAGAUUUCAGGCACUGAGUGAUGAAGGCCAGAUGUUUGAGUUAUGCAUAGGAAGUCAGUGGCCUACAGUUGGUACUGGGUACUGUAUGAAGCGAUGAUGCCAGAAACCAUCGCCGGCAUAUACCAUGUAAUUAAAUUUAAGGAAGCCCACUCACAUAUUACAGCUUGUAUAUAAAAGCAAUACAUGUUCCAGGUUUGAAAAAAACAGACAUCAAAAAACAUUACAUAAACACAAGUGCCUAAAUAAAAAUAGAAACGGUAUAUGAGUAAGAGGUGUUGCUUAUGAUUCACCUGGUUACAGUUUGCAUAGCAACUAAUUCUAGUUUUUUAUAUAUAU